ensembl:lncRNA
CGGAAUAAUCCAGUAGUUGGCUGCUUGAAAGAUACUGUAAAUAGCUCCAACAGAGUGCAGUUUGGGGCAGCUUCCAAUUAGCCUUCGCUUGCAGUCUUUUGUUCCCUGCCAAGUUUGUGCAGCGAGCAUCCAACGCCCCGCCCUCUGCUUGGCUCAGAGUCGCAGGGCAGGGAGGAGUCAAGUGUGUGAUCAAGCUGAUAGAUGUCAGCUCCAACGUGUACGGAUGUCCCACCUGAAAGCUGACAAGGGGGAUUAAAAGGUGCUUUCGAAACGGGUGUGCCUGGCAGUGUGGCAGUGAAGGGAGCUUGUUUCCCUGGAGAUGCAUCUGAGCUAAAAACAAAGCUGAUGGCCAAUUAAAAGACAUCCCACAGAAAUACCCCAGAAACAUUAUCCCUGCGAGUUGAUGGAGUUUACUUGCUCAAGUCCUACUUCUUUGGCAAGGCUAUGAUUGCAUGCCAGGUCUCCUUCCUAGGCUCUGAGUGCCCACUGGGAUCCCCACCCUAGGCUCCAGGAGAAGAGAGAGAACCCGACGGGGCAGUCUAGCUGCAGCUACAAAGCCCAGCAUUAGACAGUGCACGCUUUGGAGUCAUCCUACCUCAGGCUGAGAGUUCAGUCAGAUCCUAACACGGAGUUUAAUUUCUCUGUUUCUUCACCAAGGCAACCAAUUUAUACUGUUGUCACCAAAAAGUAUUUAUUUGUUUAUUUAUUAAAAAUAUAGAACACUGGGGCUGGCCCCGUGGCUUGAGUGGUUAAGUUCGCGCGCUCCGCUGCAGGCGGCCCAGUGUUUCGUUGGUUCGAAUCCUGGGCGCGGACAUGGCACUGCUCAUCAGACCACGCUGAGGCAGCGUCUCACAUGCCACAACUAGAAGGACCCACAACGAAGAAUAUACAACUAUGUACCGGGAGGCUUUGGGGAGAAAAAGGAAAAAAUAAAAUCUUUAAAAAAAAAAAUUAAAAAAAAAAUAUAUAGAACACUAACCAUACAGCAGGGGCUGUGCUAACUGCUGGUGCUGGUGCUGGUGCUGGGAGAGCUCGGGGUUCCCUUAUACACAUAGACACAGACCGUGACAACAGCUCAGUGUGUUAAUGCUAGCACAGAGAUCCCUGCCCAGUCUACAGGGACUCACAGGAGGAGCCUGGGAAUGGUAAGAAUAGCUUUCCAGCACUACUGAUAUUUGAGCUGGUGCUUGAAGAAAGAAGACAAGUUUGCCAGGUGGUGUGGAACAGGGGAAUGCAUUUAAGGUAGAGGACACAGCGCAAUGGCUGAGAGUCGGUCAAGGGUGUGAUCAGCCCUGAGGAUAGUGCCAAGUUCAGUGUGAUUGGUGUAAAAUGCUUUCAUUGGCAGUCCUACAUAGCUUCGGGUAUAAAUAUCUAGGUGACGGCCUCAGAUGGCUUUGCCUAUAGGUAUGGUAACAAAGUACUAUGGGUCAAAAAUUAGAACAUAAGGCCCGAAUAUAAGCCACUUAAAUCUUGGAGUCUAACAUAGAAAGAGAAACACAGGAAGAAAAAAUAUAAAUAUAUUUAUAAUUUAUAAAAAUAUAAAUAUAUUUAUAAUUUAUAAAAAUAUUUCUGGAAGAACUUUUUAAAGGAAAUUCUCAUAGUCUUCCGUAGGCGCCAAGCAUUGCUCUAAGAACUCUCUGUAUAUUAACUCAUUUAAUCUGCUCAGUAACCCGCUGAGGCAGAUCUAUUAUUCCUCACACUUAACAGAUCAGGAACCGAGGCAGAAAGUUCAAAUAACUUGCCCAAGGUCAAUCGGACAAUUAAUAACAGGGCCAGGAUUGGGAAGCCGAGAUGGAUUCCAUCUCCAGUACUCUUAACCACAAUGCUUUACCACCUCUCAUGAGGCAGUGGUAACACGGUCACCCCCAGAAGGUGAGAGGGGCUGGGGAGAUGAGGACAGAGGUGGGAGCCCUGUCACAUUCACAAUCUCUUCCUCGGCAUAUGGCAAUGUCCCCAACGAAGUGCCAGGCAACUUUCCACUGUAGAAUCUUUUGUAACUUCGGAUUCAAAACAAACGUAAAGAUAGAAACGGAACUGUUCUAAAAUGUUUAGGGUACAGGUACUGUCCCACAAAAAGGCCACAGGCAGCAGCUUGAAGGGAGGGAGCACAAGGAGCCCACAGACCCAUCAGCAACCCAUCAUGCUCCCUUUCCAUGCUCCCAGCCAAGUGGAGAAGCACAGUUCGACCACAGCAAGGGGAGCAGGGCUGCAAAAGGGUGGGCGAACCCACGCCUGGAAGACGGACCCAGUCACGUGGAAGUCCUUCCUUGUCCCUCUUUCCUUUCUAUUGUCACUUCCUAGUUCAGUCUCAGCCACUGCAGCUGCUCAAUGGCAAUGCAUUAGAAACCAAGACAAUAGCAACAGACCCCAGCAAGAUAGCUGUAAAAGAGACAGCUGCCAGGCCUCCUUCCACAAGAGCACUUCCCAACAGCAAAAGGUUGGCUUGGGCACCCGGAAGUGGAAGGCCCACACAAAAAAGCCCUGCUCCUCACUACCAACUCCAGUGCAAACCCCCACUCUAUCCUCCCUCCACUUUCUUGAAGCAGGAGCCCAUAUAUUAUACCAUGCCAUGGUUCAUUUCAGCAAAAAUCAACUAGCAUUCUUCUGACCUGGGGCAAAAAAUUCCCUCAUUGAGAUCCUGAAAAAUAACAUUACAUCAUGUUGCCCGUGUCAGGUUUAUAAAUGGGCCAGGGGGAGGCUGGGGUGUAACCUGACACUAUCAAAACACUGGCCCUUGGAGAAGAAAGGAGGCCAUUGUUGUAGGCUGUCAGCUCUCCUCUUGCUGGAGGUAAAGUGAGUUGAGAGAAAUGUUAGUGGGAGGCCAGGCCCGGCGCUGGCCCUCACUCCCCAUCUCCUAAGAAAUCAGGCAGCCUUCCUCCAAAACGGGGUUGCCCCCAUUUCCCGCGAGGUGUGUCACCCUCCUUUCCAUUCUCUGGGGAGGGUGGAUGAGCUAAGUAAUUUUUAUUCCCAUGUCUCAAAGCAAAGAAGCAGUUAAACAUAAGAUAACCAAGACCAGGGGCCUUUUUUUUCCCCCUUUUUUUCUGAGCAG